GAUUCCAUGGUGUAGUCGGUUAUCACGUCUGUCUAACAUACAGACGGUCGCCGGUUCGAAUCCGGCUGGAAUCA